UCAAGUUACCAUGAAGUCAGCAGUCAUAUUUGUCGCCUUUUUCUUGUUUUUGAUUGUGAACGCAAAGAACAAUCGAAAAUACAUGAAGAGCAAUUUAAAACCUGAACAGAAACUGAUGUUCAGAGGAAAAGGAAUGUAUUAUUUUUUUGGCGGUGCAAAUCAUAAUCCAAAUUAUUAUCCAUCUUAUUAUCCUGCAAAAGCUGGGCGCAGCGUUGGACGAAGAGGCGAGCAUUUUGGUCGUCGCUGAUUGACUCAAUGUUUAAGCAUAACACAAAUAAGGUUCAAACAGCAAGAUUUACAUUUUAACUUAUUAAUUUACCUAUAUUUUAUAUAAACAAUUACAACUUCAUUAAUUUCACGUAUUUCAAGUCUGCUUUAGUAA